AACGAACGCUGGCGGCAGGCCUAACACAUGCAAGUCGAGCGCCCUUUCGGGGGAGCGGCGGACGGGUGAGUAACGCGUGGGAAUAUGCCCUUCUCUACGGAAUAGCCUCGGGAAACUGAGAGUAAUACCGUAUACGCCCUGUGGGGGAAAGAUUUAUCGGGGAAGGAUUAGCCCGCGUUGGAUUAGGUAGUUGGUGGGGUAAUGGCCUACCAAGCCGACGAUCCAUAGCUGAUUUGAGAGGAUGAUCAGCCACACUGGGACUGAGACACGGCCCAGACUCCUACGGGAGGCAGCAGUGGGGAAUCUUAGACAAUGGGGGCAACCCUGAUCUAGCCAUGCCGCGUGAGUGAUGAAGGCCUUAGGGUUGUAAAGCUCUUUCAGCUGGGAAGAUAAUGACGGUACCAGCAGAAGAAGCCCCGGCUAACUCCGUG
rnacentral:rRNA from 1 species